UACAGAGGUCCCAAGCGUUGUUCGGAUUCAUUGGGCGUAAAGGGUGCGUAGGUGGCGCGCUAAGUCAGGUGUGAAAUUUCGGAGCUUAACUCCGAAACUGCAUUUGAUACUGGCGUGCUUGAGGACUGGAGAGGAGACUGGAAUUUACGGUGUAAGCAGUGAAAUGCGUAGAGAUCGUAAGGAAGACCAGUGGCGAAGGCGGGUCUCUGGACAGUUCCUGACACUGAGGCACGAAGGCCAGGGGAGCAAACGGG
rnacentral:rRNA from 1 species